GUCACCUAACAAUUUCUCUCUCUCUCUCUCUCUCUCUCUCUCUCUCUCUCUCUCUUAUUCAACUUUGAAUACAAACUGUGAUUAUAUUUUAAAUAUAUAUUUAACUAUUUUCAUACAGUGUUGGAAAGAAUUGCAUGCAUUGGUUUUGAAAAAAUUUGGAGUCUUCAAGCCAAAAUCAAUAACAAGAAUUGGUUAUUGCCAUGGCCACUAUUUAUCCAUAACAGAGCCAAAAAAGAGCCAAUCAUGGCUGCACUAGAGGAAUAGAUGGGACAAAAUAUGAAUGAAGGUGUGCGCUAUUUCAAAGAUGUUUUGUUUGGAGAUUUUCGUUGUCUCCCUUGUUUGGAAUUGGCCAUUAUUGGAAGCUGAACGUAAUCUUUACCCUAUGAAUUAAUUUAUGUUAUACAUGUAUUUGUAAAGAUAAUGUUCAUUAAAUUGUCCACUCCAAUUUAUAUGUUGUUGAUUUGUAACUAUUAUACUGUAUUGAUUGUAUUUUAUUUAAACAUUGUUUGAAAUUUAUUUAGGGUUUUUUUUUUCAAUGAAAUA